rnacentral:rRNA from 1 species
ACUCCUACGGGAGGCAGCAGUGGGGAAUAUUGCACAAUGGGGGAAACCCUGAUGCAGCCAUGCCGCGUGUGUGAAGAAGGCCUUCGGGUUGUAAAGCACUUUCAGCGAGGAGGAAAGGUCAGUAGCUAAUAUCUGCUGGCUGUGACGUUACUCGCAGAAGAAGCACCGGCUAACUCCGUGCCAGCAGCCGCGGUAAU